GGCGGGACACGUGGUAUCCUGUCUGAAUAUGGGGGGACCAUCCUCCAAGGCUAAAUACUCCUGACUGACCGAUAGUGAACCAGUACCGUGAGGGAAAGGCGAAAAGAACCCCGGCGAGGGGAGUGAAAAAGAACCUGAAACCGUGUACGUACAAGCAGUGGGAGCACCCUUUGGGGUGUGACUGCGUACCUUUUGUAUAAUGGGUCAGCGACUUAUAUUCUGUAGCAAGGUUAACCGAAUAGGGGAGCCGGAGGGAAACCGAGUCUUAAUUGGGCGUUAAGUUGCAGGGUAUAGACCCGAAACCCGGUGAUCUAGCCAUGGGCAGGUUGAAGGUUGGGUAACACUAACUGGAGGACCGAACCGACUAAUGUUGAAAAAUUAGCGGAUGACCUGUGGCUGGGGGUGAAAGGCCAAUCAAACCGGGAGAUAGCUGGUUCUCCCCGAAAGCUAUUUAGGUAGCGCCUCGUGAAUUCAUCUCCGGGGGUAGAGCACUGUUUCGGCUAGGGGGCCAUCCCGGCUUACCAACCCGAUGCAAACUGCGAAUACCGGAGAAUGUUAUCACGGGAGACACACGGCGGGUGCUAACGUCCGUCGUGAAGAGGGAAACAACCCAGACCGCCAGCUAAGGUCCCAAAGUCAUGGUUAAGUGGGAAACGAUGUGGGAAGGCCCAGACAGCCAGGAUGUUGGCUUAGAAGCAGCCAUCAUUUAAAGAAAGCGUAAUAGCUCACUGGUCGAGUCGGCCUGCGCGGAAGAUGUAACGGGGCUAAACCAUGCACCGAAGCUGCGGCAGCGACGCUGAUGCGUUGUUGGGUA
rnacentral:rRNA from 1 species